AUUGAACGCUGGCGGCAUGCUUUACACAUGCAAGUCGAACGGCAGCGCGGGCUUCGGCCUGGCGGCGAGUGGCGAACGGGUGAGUAAUGCAUCGGAACGUGCCCAGUAGUGGGGGAUAGCCCGGCGAAAGCCGGAUUAAUACCGCAUACGACCUGAGGGUGAAAGCGGGGGACCGAAAGGCCUCGCGCUAUUGGAGCGGCUGAUGUCGGAUUAGCUAGUUGGUGGGGUAAAGGCUUACCAAGGCGACGAUCCGUAGCUGGUCUGAGAGGACGACCAGCCACACUGGGACUGAGACACGGCCCAGACUCCUACGGGAGGCAGCAGUGGGGAAUUUUGGACAAUGGGGGCAACCCUGAUCCAGCCAUGCCGCGUGCGAGAAGAAGGCCUUCGGGUUGUAAACCGCUUUUGUUCGGGAAGAAAUCCUCUGGGCUAAUACCCCGGGGGGAUGACGGUACCGGAAGAAUAAGCACCGGCUAACUACGUG
rnacentral:rRNA from 1 species